rnacentral:rRNA from 1 species
AACGCUAGCUACAGGCUUAACACAUGCAAGUCGAGGGGCAUCAGGAAGAAAGCUUGCUUUCUUUGCUGGCGACCGGCGCACGGGUGAGUAACACGUAUCCAACCUGCCGAUGACUCGGGGAUAGCCUUUCGAAAGAAAGAUUAAUACCCGAUGGUAUAUCUGAAAGGCAUCUUUCAGCUAUUAAAGAAUUUCGGUCAUUGAUGGGGAUGCGUUCCAUUAGGUUGUUGGCGGGGUAACGGCCCACCAAGCCAUCGAUGGAUAGGGGUUCUGAGAGGAAGGUCCCCCACAUUGGAACUGAGACACGGUCCAAACUCCUACGGGAGGCAGCAGUGAGGAAUAUUGGUCAAUGGACGAGAGUCUGAACCAGCCAAGUAGCGUGAAGGAUGACUGCCCUAUGGGUUGUAAACUUCUUUUAUACGGGAAUAAAGUUAGGCACGUGUGCCUUUUUGUAUGUACCGUAUGAAUAAGGAUCGGCUAACUCCGUGCCAGCAGCCGCGGUAAUACGGAGGAUCCGAGCGUUAUCCGGAUUUAUUGGGUUUAAAGGGAGCGUANGCGGAUGCUUAAGUCAGUUGUGAAAGUUUGCGGCUCAACCGUAAAAUUGCAGUUGAUACUGGGUGUCUUGAGUACAGUAGANGCAGGCGGAAUUCGUGGUGUAGCGGUGAAAUGCUUAGAUAUCACGAANAACUCCNAUUG